UACGUAGGGUGCGAGCGUUGUCCGGAAUUAUUGGGCGUAAAGAGCUCGUAGGCGGUCUGUCGCGUCGAUCGUGAAAACUUGGGGCUUAACCCUGAGCUUGCGGUCGAUACGGGCAUGACUGGAGUUCGGCAGGGGAGACUGGAAUUCCUGGUGUAGCGGUGAAAUGCGCAGAUAUCAGGAGGAACACCGGUGGCGAAGGCGGGAUCUCUGGGCCGAUUACUGACGCUGAGAGCGAACGACGUGGGGAGCGAACAGG
rnacentral:rRNA from 1 species